GAUGAAGAACGUAGCGAAAUGCGAUAAGUAGUGUGAAUUGCAGAAUUCAGUGAAUCAUCGAAUCUUUGAACGCACAUUGCGCCCGCCAGUAUUCUGGCGGGCAUGCCUGUUCGAGCGUCAUUUCAACCCUCAGGCCCCCAGUGCCUGGCGUUGGGGAUCGGCGCGGCGCCCUCCGGGGCGCUGCCGGCCCCGAAAUUCAGUGGCGGUCUCGCUGUAGCCCUCCUCCGCGUAGUAGCACAACCUCGCGGCCUGGAGCUCGGCGGUGGCCAUGCCGUAAAACACCCCACUUCUGAAAGUUGACCUCGGAUCAGGUAGGAAUACCCGCUGAACUUAAGCAUAUCAAUAAGCGGAGGA
rnacentral:misc_RNA from 1 species